GGGGGAUCUUCGGACCUCGCGCUACAGGGGCGGCCGAUGGCAGAUUAGCUAGUUGGUGGGGUAAAGGCCUACCAAGGCGACGAUCUGUAGCUGGUCUGAGAGGACGACCAGCCACACUGGGACUGAGACACGGCCCAGUACUCCUACGGGAGGCAGCAGUGGGGAAUUUUGGACAAUGGGCGCAAGCCUGAUCCAGCAAUGCCGCGUGUGUGAAGAAGGCCUUCGGGUUGUAAAGCACUUUUGUCCGGAAAGAAAACCUCUGGGUUAAUACCCUGGGGGGAUGACGGUACCGGAAGAAUAAGCACCGGCUAACUACGUGCCAGCAGCCGCGGUAAUACGUAGGGUGCAAGCGUUAAUCGGAAUUACUGGGCGUAAAGCGUGCGCAGGCGGUCCGCUAAGACAGAUGUGAAAUCCCCGGGCUUAACCUGGGAACUGCAUUUGUGACUGGCGGGCUAGAGUAUGGCAGAGGGGGGUAGAAUUCCACGUGUAGCAGUGAAAUGCGUAGAGAUGUGGAGGAAUACCGAUGGCGAAGGCAGCCCCCUGGGCCAAUACUGACGCUCAUGCACGAAAGCGUGGGGAGCAAACAGGAUUAGAUACCCUGGUAGUCCACGCCCUAAACGAUGUCAACUAGUUGUCGGGUCUUCAUUGACUUGGUAACGUAGCUAACGCGUGAAGUUGACCGCCUGGGGAGUACGGUCGCAAGAUUAAAACUCAAAGGAAUUGACGGGGACCCGCACAAGCGGUGGAUGAUGUGGAUUAAUUCGAUGCAACGCGAAAAGCCUUACCUACCC
rnacentral:rRNA from 1 species